GAGGCACCAGGGACAUUGGUUCAGCUCUAACCAGGAUGUGUAUGAGACACAGAAGCAUCGAGGCCAAGCUCAGAGACUUUUCAAUGGCUUUCAUGGACUGCAUGAUCAACCCUCUACAGGAUCAGAUGGAGGAGUGGAAGAGAGGAACUAACACACUGGAUAAGGACCAUGCUAAAGGUAC